rnacentral:rRNA from 1 species
UACGGGGGGGGCAAGCGUUGUUCGGAAUUACUGGGCGUAAAGCGCGCGUAGGCGGCUCUUCAAGUCGAGUGUGAAAGCUCCAGGCUUAACCUGGGAAUUGCGCUCGAUACUGUUGAGCUAGAGUGUGGAAGGGGCAACUGGAAUUCUCGGUGUAGCGGUGAAAUGCGUCGAUAUCGAGAGGAACACCUGCGGCGAAGGCGGGUUGCUGGGCUGACACUGACGCUGAUGCGCGAAAGCUAGGGGAGCGAACGGG